rnacentral:lncRNA from 1 species
UUUUUAAUUCUGGUAGCUGUUCUUCUAUAUAACAUCUUCCUUGUUUGGGUAUUAAUGUUAUGUACUUUUUCCUAUUGAAAACCAACUUUCUUCAGGUUGUGUUUAUGCACAGUGAGCAUGAAUACAUUUUUUUAUAUUGGCUUGAAUUUCAGCCUGAUGUAUCACCUCAUUAGCAACUCCUGUUUUAGAAAAUAUUGAAAGAUCUGUCUUGGGGAGCACAGAAAUUAAUUUUUCAGCCAUUAACCAAUGUUAUUAACAGUCUCAAAUAGGUCCAUAAGUGAAGGUAUUUAUAAAUUAUACUUUGAUUGAAAUAUAACACUUCUACUCUUCUGGUGCAACCCAAGUGUAGUACUGGAUAUAAUUUGUUAUUUUCUGGUGACACAAGUAGGUGGAAGUGUAUUUCAAGAAGGAAGAGUAUUUUCACUAAGGCCUUAUGCUAAACUAAACCCCUUUUCCUUCCCUUCUCAUCUCUCCCUCUUUCUUCCCACCUUCACAGCCCUCCUCCUGCCUAAAAUCCCACCUGUCCCUUGCAAAGGCUUUUUGGCAUCUCUGCUAAUGAGCUGAUGCUGUCAAAUUCAUCUUUUUUAGAAGAGAUUCAGAACCUGUUCUCCUGAGGUGAAAUAUCAGGGCUUUCAGACUGUAUUCUUCUUGUAAAAUAUAACCUAGAUCCUUUAAGAUGAAAUAGGCACUUUAGAAGCACCUGGGCUUAUCUUUCAGUUUUUCUGCUCAGCUGUGUUAUGCACAAAGGUCUUUUUCUAGGUGACAUAUCAUGUUGUAUUCCAAAGUACACUUUCUUUUAAUUUACAACUUAAUUUUCAACCUAAUUCAGAAGAUUGAUACUAUAAUGCUAUUUGCAGAAGUAUUGAAAUGUCAGUAAGUUUUAUUGUAGUAAUAAAGAGAAUUCCAUAUAUCACACACUCUAUAGGGAUCCUUGCUUUUUGCAUAGAUCUUCAUAGCAACAACCAGUGGAUAAAUGCUGGCAAUCAUUAAUUUUUAAAGAAGACAUGGUUAUGAUGAGUUGAGAAAUUAAGACCAUAGUGAUGAAUGAACUUUAAUUUUUGACACUUUUUGUUAGAGUCUAAGAGGAGACAGGGGUAGAUUGUGGGGAGGGGGAAAGGGAAAAAUAAGGAGGGGGGGAAUUGUCCAAAUCCCAGGUUCCUAAUACUUAAAAUGCUAUCUGCUCGUAAAAGAUUUCAGUCAGGGAGAGGCCAUCUUCGAGCUUCUUUUAACAAAUGGAUAUCAGUGGUCCAUGAAAUAAUCAAUGUCGAUAAUCCAUCCUAGGAUCUGCCAAUAUGUUAAUGGCUCUGCCACAUCGUUAUUGCUACAAGGCCAUAAAUCAUUUCCGUACCAGAAUGCUUAGCAGUUGAGGACUCAAACCCCUAGCCUGGAAUAAAAUGCUGUCUCUUAACAAUUAAUGUCUAAACAUCUUGCAGCUUUGUGCCUUGAUUGUUUUCAGAUGCUAAAAAAGUAAGUAGGACAGAUUGUAAAUCAAUAAAACAAUAAGACAAAGUGUUUUAAUAAUAGAAAGACUCGAAGUAAAUCAUAGUUCUGUGUUUAUUAUUGCUUUGGAAGCUAUAAAUAAAUAGUACCAACUGGAAUAGGUUUAGUUAAGGAAAAAUAAGACUGGUAUUGACAUUUUGAGCAUGCGUUACAUUAUGUUUUCGCUCCUAGAAGGUAAGGUAGAUAGGGGUUAGCUUUAUUAUUUCUAUUUUUAAAAUGGGAGAAUAGGAGUUAAGAAAUGCUUGGAUCUUUGAAUUGUCAUUCA